GACGAACGCUGGCGGCGUGCUUAACACAUGCAAGUCGAACGGAAAGGCCCUGCUUGCGGGGUACUCGAGUGGCGAACGGGUGAGUAACACGUGGGUGAUCUGCCCUGCACUUCGGGAUAAGCCUGGGAAACUGGGUCUAAUACCGGAUAGGAGCCAUUCUUAGUGUGAUGGUUGGAAAGUUUUUUCGGUGUAGGAUGAGCUCGCGGCCUAUCAGCUUGUUGGUGGGGUAAUGGCCUACCAAGGCGGCGACGGGUAGCCGGCCUGAGAGGGUGGACGGCCACAUUGGGACUGAGAUACGGCCCAGACUCCUACGGGAGGCAGCAGGGGGGAAUAUUGCACAAUGGGCGCGAGCCUGAUGCAGCGACGCCGCGUGGGGGAUGACGGCCUUCGGGUUGUAAACUCCUUUCGCUAGGGACGAAGCUUUUUGUGACGGUACCUAGAUAAGAAGCACCGGCUAACUACGUG
rnacentral:rRNA from 1 species